CUUGGCAAAACUGAAAUGUAUGUGGCAAGAAGAGCAGCUGUGCUUGCUGAAGCUGGAGCAAUUGUGGAAGAUUUUUUUUUACUUUGGUCCCAAUCCUAUUGAAGCAGUGGUCCUACUAGCAGUCACUAUUGAUGGGAUCGAAGAUGAGUCCGGGAGAAUACUGAAUUAUGUGGAGGUGGUGACCUCGACAUAAAGUAACUUCUCCUUUUGUGUUCACUUUCAGAUAGGUUGGCAGACCUUCCAGAUACUGUGUGAGGACCUGGCUCAUCUCGUGCCUCAUAGAGGUUCACCCAUUGAAAAUAGGGUGUUGGCCUCCCUGUGGCUGAUGGCCAACCAGGAAAGUUUCAGGGGAGUGGCAGACCGGUUCAACCUCAGCAAGAAACAUUGCAUCACCACUUCAUUCAAGUGGUCAUAGGCCUCACCCAGCUGGUGUCUGACUAUGUGAAGUGGCUUUUUGUAAAGCAGCUACCAGUGGUAUAGGCUGCAUUUGAGAGAAAGACGAGGUUCCCUUUGGUGAUUGGGUGUAUAGAUGGCACCCAUAUUACCAUCAGGGGACCCUCCAACAAAAGGGAUGCCUACAUAAACAGAAAGGGCCAUGCUAGCUUCCAUCUCCAGGCAGUGUGUGACAGCCUACUGCUUCUGUGACGAUGCCAGAGUGUACAGGGCCAGCAACCUCAAGGCCCACCUGGAGACCAACCCACUACCCAAUCAAUACCAUCUGCUCGGGGGAUUCUGCAUACCCCCUGUGUGGACUUAAUUGUCCCAUUCAGAAACAACAGCCACCUUGAAGAUGAAGAAAAGCAUUUUAACCAGGUCCGCAGUUCAACACAUGGACACACUGAGAGGACAUUUGGGAUACUCAAGUGGAGGAGACUGCAGCACUUGGACAUGUUCCUUCUAAACAAAACACCCCCUUUGAUUGCCAGUGCAUGUGUUCCCCACAACUUGGUCCUGAUCCAUGAAGGGAUCACAGAGGAAAUACCAGUGGAGGCCCCCAUUGACCACGUCCCUGCCCCAGACCCCAAAAGGGCAGCUUUUUGACAGGCAGCAAUGCUGAAGAGGGACAAUCUGAUGAGGCUGCUCUAAGCUACAAAACACAUCUACGAUCACACCCCCACACACCCAGACACAUGCACCCACCCAUCACUGACGUCCACCUACCAAAAUGUAUAACCACAUUUAAUAAAUAAAUUAUUAUUGGAAUACAUUCUAAUUUUUUUUGUGUGUUUGUGUGCACGCCCAAGGUAACAAAGCCACAGUUCAAUUAAAGAUGCACCUUGCAGAAAUAAACUCAGCAAAAAAAGAAAAUGUCCCUUUUUCAGGACCCUGUCUUUCAAAGAUAAUUCUUAAAAAUCCAAAUAACUUCACAGAUCUUCAUUGUAAAGGGUUUAAACACUGUUUCCCAUGCUUGUUCAAUGAACAUGCACUUGUGGAACAGUCGUUAAGACACUAAUAGCUUACAGAUGGUAGGCAAUUAAGGUCACAGUCAUGAAAACUUAGGACACUAAAGAAGCCUUUCUACUGACUCUGAAAAACAUCAAAAGAAAG
rnacentral:lncRNA from 1 species